GCACUGGAUGGGGGUUAUGCCGCUGUGACCCAUUAUUGCACAUUGAAGGAGAGCGGCGUCAGAUGUGCAAACAGUGC
rnacentral:sRNA from 1 species